GACGAACCGUGCGAACGUUAUUCGGAAUCACUGGCUUAAAGCGCGAUGUAGGCGGGACGGCACGUCGGUCGCUGAAAGCCCCCGGCUCAACCGGGGAACGGGCGCCGAUACGACCGGCCUGGAGGGACGUAGGGGGACCUGGAACUUCCGGUGGAGCGGUGAAAUGCGUUGAGAUCGGAAGGAACGCCCGUGGCGAAAGCGAGGUCCUGGACGUUUUCUGACGCUGAGACGCGAAAGCUAGGGGAGCGAACGGG
rnacentral:rRNA from 1 species